GGGAGGACAGGUGGUGCAUGGUUGUCGUCAGCUCGUGUCGUGAGAUGUUGGGUUAAGUCCCGCAACGAGCGCAACCCCUACGUUUAGUUGCUAACGCGUGAAGGCGAGCACUCUAGACGAACUGCAGUUGACAAAACGGAGGAAGGUGGGAUGACGUCAAAUCAUCAUGCCCCUUAUGUUCUGGGCUACACACGUGCUACAAUGGCCGGUACAGACGGACGCAAAGCCGCGAGGUGGAGCAAAUCCUAAAAAGCCGGUCUCAGUUCGGAUUGCAGGCUGCAAUUCGCCUGCAUGAAGUCGGAAUCGCUAGUAAUCGCAGGUCAGCAUACUGCGGUGAAUACGUUCCCGGGCCUU
rnacentral:rRNA from 1 species